rnacentral:snRNA from 1 species
AGCUUUGCGCAGUGGCAGUAUCGUAGCCAAUGAGGUUUAUCCGAGGCGCGAUUAUUGCUACUUGAAAACUUCUCAAAACUGUACAUUAAACCUGUUCCUCUUUACUUAGAGGCAACUUAUGUAACCCCAGAUA